GCUGACGUACUCCAAUCUGGUAGAGAGGUUACGUUGAGAACGUAAAUGUUGUGGGUUCGACCCCCAUCGUCAGCACCA
rnacentral:tRNA from 1 species